GAUGCUGUGUGUAAUUAGCGAUUAACGCGCGUUAUUAACAGUGCAAACAGUCCGCCGUCGGCGAGUCGGCGCGCCAUAUGGGGGACUUAGCAAGCCGCAGUAAUGGGCGGAUACCGCGGUACAGAUAUCGCCGAUACGUUUUGCCGCAUACGAAACGUGCAUUUUCAUUCUACACGGGUCACCGUGCUCGGAUUUCGCCGCUUACGAAGCACUAACAUUCGGAUAUACGUAGGAUACACGCAUAGAAACUUACGCACGAAGUGCGUCGUUCGCGGUAAUUAAAUCCUCCAGGAAUCCGGCGUGAUUUUAUCAGUGGCGCGUGGUAGGCAGAAUAUUUUUACGACGCACCGUUUCUGAAGAGGAUUUUCCAUUUGAUGAUAAUAACCGAUCCCGAUCGGUGACAGGAGCGGCGAACCAAAGAUUAGCGGACAGCUCCCAUUCGAGGAAAGAGAAACGAAGUGGCAGGCGAGAGAGGAUAAUAACAUCUUUGACAAAUUUUUUUCGGCGAACGCUCAAAGUAAUCCGGAUAUCCGGAUAAAGUAGAACUUCUUUCGAAUUCUUCUCCGUGUGUCUCGGUCACAGCCGGGCGUCGACUUUCGAGGACAAGGAAGAAAAUGGUAAGGGAGAAACACACGUAAGAUUCAGCAGAACAGAGGAGCGCGUUAGUCGCGUGAUACGUAGAUCGAGUGACUCAGAGAUUCCUGGAGCCGGACUGACAAGCGAAAUGGGUCAGGCACGGUGCACUUAAUAAAGAUCAACGUAAUUUCAGCAUAGUCUACAACUCCGCUGUUGCACAUCGUAUCGAUGAGUGAUAAAUCAAUUUUUAUAUUCAGUAUUUUAAAAUGGAUAGGCUAGAACAGAUU